GAUGAACGCUGGCGGCGUGCCUAAUACAUGCAAGUCGAGCGAACAGAUAAGGAGCUUGCUCCUUUGACGUUAGCGGCGGACGGGUGAGUAACACGUGGGUAACCUACCUAUAAGACUGGGAUAACUUCGGGAAACCGGAGCUAAUACCGGAUAACAUUUGGAACCGCAUGGUUCUAAAGUGAAAGAUGGUUUUGCUAUCACUUAUAGAUGGACCCGCGCCGUAUUAGCUAGUUGGUAAGGUAACGGCUUACCAAGGCGACGAUACGUAGCCGACCUGAGAGGGUGAUCGGCCACACUGGAACUGAGACACGGUCCAGACUCCUACGGGAGGCAGCAGUAGGGAAUCUUCCGCAAAGGGCGAAAGCCUGACGGAGCAACGCCGCGUGAGUGAUGAAGGGGUUCGGCUCGUAAAACUCUGUUAUUAGGGAAGAACAAAUGUGUAAGUAGCUGUGCACGUCUUGACGGUACCUAAUCAGAAAGCCACGGCUAACUACGUG
rnacentral:rRNA from 1 species